CUACCAUGCAAGUCGACGAUGAAGCCCAGCUUGCUGGGUGGAUUAGUGGCGAACGGGUGAGUAACACGUGAGUAACCUGCCCUUAACUCUGGGAUAAGCCUGGGAAACUGGGUCUAAUACCGGAUAGGAGCGUCUACCGCAUGGUGGGUGUUGGAAAGAUUUAUCGGUUUUGGAUGGACUCGCGGCCUAUCAGCUUGUUGGUGAGGUAAUGGCUCACCAAGGCGACGACGGGUAGCCGGCCUGAGAGGGUGACCGGCCACACUGGGACUGAGACACGGCCCAGACUCCUACGGGAGGCAGCAGUGGGGAAUAUUGCACAAUGGGCGAAAGCCUGAUGCAGCGACGCCGCGUGAGGGAUGACGGCCUUCGGGUUGUAAACCUCUUUCAGUAGGGAAGAAGCGAAAGUGACGGUACCUGCAGAAGAAGCACCGGCUAACUACGUGCCAGCAGCCGCGGUAAUACGUAGGGUGCGAGCGUUAUCCGGAAUUAUUGGGCGUAAAGAGCUCGUAGGCGGUUUGUCGCGUCUGUCGUGAAAGUCCGGGGCUUAACCCCGGAUCUGCGGUGGGUACGGGCAGACUAGAGUGCAGUAGGGGAGACUGGAAUUCCUGGUGUAGCGGUGGAAUGCGCAGAUAUCAGGAGGAACACCGAUGGCGAAGGCAGGUCUCUGGGCUGUAACUGACGCUGAGGAGCGAAAGCAUGGGGAGCGAACAGGAUUAGAUACCCUGGUAGUCCAUGCCGUAAACGUUGGGCACUAGGUGUGGGGACCAUUCCACGGUUUCCGCGCCGCAGCUAACGCAUUAAGUGCCCCGCCUGGGGAGUACGGCCGCAAGGCUAAAACUCAUAGGAAUUGACGGGGGCCCGCACAAGCGGCUGAUCAUGCGGAUUAAUUCGAUGCAACGCGUAGAACCUUACCAAGGCUUGACAUGUUCUCGAUCGCCGUAUAGAUACGG
rnacentral:rRNA from 1 species